UACGAAGGGGGCUAGCGUUGUUCGGAAUUACUGGGCGUAAAGCGCGCGCAGGCGGCUAUCCAAGUCAGUGGUGAAAGCCCGGAGCUCAACUCCAGAACUGCCUUCGAAACUGGCGAUCUUGAGUUCGGGAGAGGUGAGUGGAACUGCGAGUGUAGAGGUGAAAUUCGUAGAUAUUCGCAAGAACACCAGUGGCGAAGGCGGCUCACUGGCCCGAUACUGACGCUGAGGUGCGAAAGCGUGGGGAGCAAACAGG
rnacentral:rRNA from 1 species